AUGGUGGGAGUUGUAGUCCAAGGGAGGCCUUCCCUCCACUUUCUGCAGCAGGAUUCCCAGGCUCCAUUUCUAAGUUCAAUUCCCAGAAGCCUCAGCUGCCUUGAGCCAAGGCUGGGGCUUCUGGGCGAUGGAGUCCCAGGAGAUGGAAGGCGAGGGGGAAGGAAGCCGAGAAGGAAGCAAGCCCAAGAAGCCUCUUCUUUGUCUGCCUGUCUGGCUUUCCCUUUGCAGCCGCAGUCCUGUUCCUUUAACGCUAAGCCCCGCCUCUCUAUGGGCGCCUCCUCGUGGCCGCCAUGUCCAGGCCGGGCGGAAGUAGAGCGAGAGGGAGGCCUCCGCUCCCUAGAGAGGCCGGAUGAAGUGCUUAGGAGGGGAGCAGAGAGUGACGCUCUUCGCUCUGAGCUCACUUCCGGAGGAGCGGGGCCUUGUCUCGGGCGCCUUCCAGACCAGGCCUGCAUCCGGGUGUUUCGGGCCUGGCCUCCCUCAGGGACUCCUCAGAGGCGGCGUUCCCUUCUCCCUCAGCCGGUAACCUCUGAAUAAAUCUUAUGAAGAACACCUAGUGAGAGCGUUGCCUGGGGAGUCCAGUAAGUCUAAAGUGACUUGAAGAUACACAACAUGAGAAGAAGAAAAAAUAAGUAGUACACAAAUAUAUUUUAAGCUACAUACCUGUAGUAUGAUAGUGCUGUAAAAAGAACGGCUUGGGAAAGCCAGCAGAAGUCUACAGCAGAGCAAACACAGUGCUGUUCAAGAGGUUAUAAACACCUGGCAUAAUUGAAUUAUAAAUUCAAUAUAAAAUAUAAAAGAAUGGCAAGUCCUCUACCUCCCUAUCCCAAAUCACACACAGGGGAGAACUUUCAUUGGUAUAUGGAAUGUGGAAAGCCUUUCAGUCGCAGUGGAAAUCUGCUUUGCCAUGAAAGGACCCACACAGGGAAGAAGCCACAUAAAUGCAUGGAAUGUGGAAAGAGCUUCAGUCACAGUUCGGAUCUGCGUUCCCAUCAAAGGACCCACACAGGGGAGAAGCCAUAUAAAUGCAUGGAAUGUGGAAAAAGCUUCAGUCAGAGUGGAUGUCUGCAUUCCCAUCAAAGGACCCACACACGGGAGAAGCCACAUAGAUGCAUGGAAUGUGAAUGA
rnacentral:lncRNA from 1 species